GACGAACCGUGCGAACGUUAUUCGGAAUCACUGGGCUUAAAGCGCGUGUAGGCGGGUCGGAACGUCGGUCGCUGAAAUCCCCCGGCUUAACCGGGGAACGGGCGCCGAAACGGCCGGCCUGGAGGGACGUAGGGGGAGCUGGAACUUCCGGUGGAGCGGUGAAAUGCGUUGAGAUCGGAAGGAGCGCCCGUGGCGAAAGCGAGCUCCUGGACGUUUUCUGACGCUGAGACGCGAAAGCCAGGGGAGCGAACGGG
rnacentral:rRNA from 1 species